UCUCUAUGUUAUAUUGCUUUCAAACUAUGUUCUAUUUUCUCUGAUUGCUUCUCCAUAAUUUUCUUCGAUGGGUUCCAAUCAAAAUUUGUUUUCUCCUUUUAGUUGAUAUAUAUUGAAAAAUGUUGCAUAGGCAUGCAUAAUUGAAUAUGUAUUUGAGAGUUUUCUUCUUUCAAAUUUCUCAAUUUCAGAUCUAAAAAAAUCUUGAUGGUGUGCUUUAUGUGAUUUAGUUCUGGUUCUGGUGAGUUUUUCUCUAUUUUAGUUUUUUCCUUUACAUGCAAUUAUUAUGAUGGAAUUUUAGUAAGUAUCUAGUUGUUUCUCUGAAUUGCUUUUUGUUGGAUUUCACAUGCAGGCAGGCAGAGACGGAUUCAGAAUUCGGAGUCUCAGGGUGUCAAGUACACUCAUAGAUUUAAUUAAUCUUAGACUCCAAAUUCUGAAUUCGCCUCCUAGGGCAGAACCAACUUGUGGCCAAAGUAUUCAUCUUAAUCUCCUUCAUCAGAAAACUGUAUUAUUUAUAUAUAGUUAAAAGAAACUCUUUGAUAUAUAUAGUAGAUGUUGAAACUCCUUCGACUAGUUCGCGCAUUUUUUUCUUUAGAUUUUAAACCUCACUCAUAAAAAUUUUGGCUCUGUCACUCUCUUAACAGGAGUGGUUAAGAUUUUAAACCUCACUCAUAAAAAUUUUGGCUCUGUCACUCUCUUAACAGGAGUGGUUAAAAGAAGGAAUGCUUUAGCAUUUUAUCUAUUUAUUUUUUAAAAAAAAUAUUAAAAAAUUAUGACUUUCGCAAUUUGGCCUCAAUUUUGUGUGCAAAUUUUUAUUAUAACAAUUAAGAAUUAAAAUCCAUUAUAUAUUCAAAAUUUACAAUUUGGUAUUUUGAAAUAGAGUCAAAACUCAGACAUUAAAGUGACAAUAUAAUUACUCUUUUUUUAAAAUAAAAUAAAAUAGCAAACUUAGUAACAUAUAAAGAAUUUAAACUCUCUCCAUUCUUCGCCCUAAAUUUGCUAUUUCAGUCAAAAAUAAAUUAGUUAAUAUAAGUCAACAAUAAUUAAAAACAUCUCUAGUGAAGAGGAAAAAAAAAAAAUUUCAAUUAUAAUAUAGGCUAUUAUUAUAGAUCAACUUAAUUUAAAUAUUUAAAUAUUAUUUAUGUUGAAAGAACAAGUCAAAUAAAGAGUUCUAAUUAUACUUAAGUUAACGGUAUUGAUGCCAGCAGGAUUCGAAUCUGCAUCCUCUGAUGCGGAAUAUAAGCCCCUUUACCAAUGGUGCUAUGGAACACUUUGACAUUCAGGGUGGCGCUACUAUUAUAUAUGUACAUUCUAUAUAUAUAUACCUAUACAUAUAUAGAGUUUACGUUGAAACUUACGGGUGGCGUGGCACCCUCACAGGCCUUAAUAGAUCCGCCUCUGCAGGGUUGCCAAUUGACAUGCAUGUUCUUUGCGAAAAGCUCAUGAAAAAGCUAAUAGGAAGGGUCAGGUGUAGGUAAAAGAGAAUGUAAGCAUCCAUCUUGGACGAUCAUGUUCUCUCAGCAAUUGUCAGCAAGGUUCAUUAGAUAUGUACCGCAGUCGCCACACUUUAAGAAAGAAUACAAUGAAAUAGACAAGAUCAUUCUACAAGGUAAUAAAUUAUCGAAAGAAUUCUUAAAAUAAAUACAGAACAAUAUAUCCAACAAAUUAGAUACAACUCAUUUAAUUUGGAAUGGUUGUCUCUUUUGAGUUAAUUGCAAAUUAAAUGUUUUAGAUCAUAUAAAAUUUGAAACGUUACUUUGAUUAUAGGUGUGUUGUGCUUACUUUGCUUGUUCGGCUCAUUAGGUAUGGUGUUUCAAUAAUGGUUAUGGUAAUGACUACGUCAAUUUCUAGCAGGAAAAAAGAGUUAUGUGCUUACUGACUUAUUCUAGAGGUUUAAAGGUACUUCAAAGCAAACUAAACAAUCUUGGGAAAAUGGUUAGCUAGCACCUAUGCUCAGUUUUUGAAGAUUUAAUUGUUUACUUUGAUUAAUUAAAUAACAGGAACUAUUAAUCAUUCAUUGCUGAAUGUUUGACUGAAAAUUGUUGUGUGCGCUUGAGGUAGUUGAGACUUGAACUUAGCCAAAGUGAACGAGUGUUAAAU